rnacentral:rRNA from 1 species
GUGCGUAACGCGUAUACAAUCUGCCUUUCACUGGGGGAUAGCCCGAAGAAAUUUGGAUUAAUACCCCAUAGUAUAGUAGUGUGGCAUCACACAACUAUUAAAGCUUAGGUGGUGAAAGAUGAGUAUGCGUUCUAUUAGCUAGUUGGAGAGGUAACGGCUCCCCAAGGCGAUGAUAGAUAGGGGUUCUGAGAGGGAUGUCCCCCACACUGGUACUGAGAUACGGACCAGACUCCUACGGGAGGCAGCAGUGAGGAAUAUUGGACAAUGGUCGGAAGACUGAUCCAGCCAUGCCGCGUGCAGGAUGAMGGUCUUAUGGRUUGUAAACUGCU